rnacentral:lncRNA from 1 species
GGGGCAGCGCCAUCGUGUGUCCUGAGAGCGAGGACUGAAGCAGGGGUUGGGGCUGCAGGAAGUCUGGGAAACCACAGGCGCCAGCGCGGCUCAGGUUCUGAAGCCCCCAGACUGCAAGCACCCUGCUGGGUGCUCUGGCCACGCGGGCGGCAGGGGAUCGGGGUGGGGCUGGCGUCCUGGGAAUGUGCCCGUGGUCAGCACGUGGGAGAGGAGAACACAGUGGGGAAAAACCCACUCGCUGUGGAGACGACUUGAAAAAGCAAAGACCUACGAGUGACCAGGUAAAGCUUGAGAAGAUCUUCUUGGGUGAGAACUUAAAAGGAGAAAGCCGGACCUAAAGACAGCUGGCCACGGGCCAUCGUUGGGGGAUAAAGGCAAAACAUGGAUUCAGAGUUGGAGAAAGCGUAGACGUGUCUCCCACAGAGCAGCUCUGAAUAACCAGCAUUUUUAUCAUAAUUCAUGGCAAUUUCACUAAAUGUAUUUAUUUCGAAGCAGAAUCUACUAGUAGACAAGUCAGUAUCGUUUAGCUAGAAAGUGAUGUACAAUCGAAUGUAUCAAAUGAACAUUCCGUGGUGGAGUUUUGUCUGAGAUGCCUUGUGCUUCUGACAGGUGGAGCCCGUCUCAGCAGCUUGUUCCUAAACCAGCCUCGUGACUAAUUCUUGACACCUCGCCCUGUGAGGCAACAUCCUCCAGACAGACGCCUAAUGAGACGCAAAACACACUCAUCCCCCAGAGUGAAUUAUACGUCCUGUAAAGAAGCCUUAGGACGCACUGGACGCUCUAGCGACGUCGGAAACCGAGUGUGGACAGCCACAAGGGACCGUCGCACCCCAAGCACAGGACAGGACGGAGCAGAGACGAGAAAGGGAGAUGCCCGCGGGUCUGGUCUUCAAGUCUCAAUGGUGAGCGACGGGGACCCCAGCCCGACCCUAGCUCGAGGGCCUCGAACCUGGAAUGGAGGCUGGGAAGGCCUGGAAACCAGGGCGGGGCUGGCUCUGGAAGGUUUCCGGG